UACGUAGGGACCAAGCGUUGUUCGGAUUUACUGGGCGUAAAGGGCGCGUAGGCGGCUUAACAAGUCACUUGUGAAAUCUCCGGGCUUAACUCGGAACGGCCAAGUGAAACUGUCAAGCUAGAGUGCAGAAGGGGCAAUCGGAAUUCUUGGUGUAGCGGUGAAAUGCGCAGAUAUCAGGAGGAACACCAAUUGCGAAGGCAGCUCGCUGGGACGUAACUGACGCUGAGACGCGAAAGCGUGGGGAGCAAACAGG
rnacentral:rRNA from 1 species